AGUGAACGCUGGCGGCAGGCCUAACACAUGCAAGUCGAACGGUAGCACAGGAGAGCUUGCUCUCUGGGUGACGAGUGGCGGACGGGUGAGGAAUAUAUCGGAAUCUACCCAAUCGUGGGGGAUAACGUAGGGAAACUUACGCUAAUACCGCAUACGAUCUGAGGAUGAAAGCGGCGGACCGCAAGGCGUCGCGCGAUUGGAUGAGCCGAUAUCCGAUUAGCUAGUUGGUGAGGUAAUGGCCCACCAAGGCAACGAUCGGUAGCUGGUCUGAGAGGAUGAUCAGCCACACUGGAACUGAGACACGGUCCAGACUCCUACGGGAGGCAGCAGUGGGGAAUAUUGGACAAUGGGCGCAAGCCUGAUCCAGCCAUGCCGCGUGUGUGAAGAAGGCCUUCGGGUUGUAAAGCACUUUUGUUGGGGAAGAAAAG
rnacentral:rRNA from 1 species